rnacentral:rRNA from 1 species
GGAGUAUGGGCCGUGUCUCAGUCCCAUUGUGGCUGAUCAUCCUCUCAAACCAGCUACUGAUCAUCGCCUUGGUGGUCCAUUACACCCCCAACUAGCUAAUCAGAUGCAGACUCAUCCCUGAGCACCGGAGUUUUCAAGAAUACCAUUCCAGGUACGCUCAUAUGGGGUAUUAGCGGCCGUUUCCAACCGUUGUCCCCCUCUCAAGGGCAGAUUCUCUACAUUUUACUCACCCGUCCGCCACUUAUGUACGCCCGAAGGCGCCUUAUCGUUCGACUUGCAUGUAUGAAGCACGCCGCCAGCGUUCGUCCUCGAGCCAUGAUCAAACUACU